GGCGAGAUAGCUCAGUUGGCUAGAGCACACGGUUCAUUCCCGUGGUGUCGAGGGGUCGAAUCCCCCUCUCGCUA
rnacentral:tRNA from 1 species